rnacentral:rRNA from 1 species
GUAGGUGGCAAGCGUUGUCCGGAAUUAUUGGGCGUAAAGCGCGCGCAGGCGGGGUCCUUUAAGUCUGAUGUGAAAGCCCACGGGCUCAACCGUGGAGGGUCAUUGGAAACUGGGGGACUUGAGUACAGAAGAGGAAAGCGGAAUUCCAAGUGUAGCGGUGAAAUGCGUAGAGAUUUGGAGGAACACCAGUGGCGAAGGCGGCUUUCUGGUCUGUAACUGACGCUGAGGCGCGAAAGCGUGGGGAGCAAACAGGAUUAGAUACCCUGGUAGUCCACGCCGUAAACGAUGAGUGCUAAGUGCUAGGGGGUUUCCGCCCCUUAGUGCUGCAGCUAACGCAUUAAGCACUCCGCCUGGGGAGUACGGCCGCAAGGCUG